rnacentral:sRNA from 1 species
AUAUUAUAUUUUACAAUUUAUAAUUGUUAUUAACUAACGCUAUACCACGAAUCCAUGAGACAAUUGUUAAAAAACUGAAGUUUUAACCCCUACUAAAACAGCAUAUUAAUAAUAUUUUAAAAUUUUAUAAAUAUUAAUUCAAAUACAUCCGCCAUAUAACUCAAUUCUAAAAUAAAACCCGUUCUGUAAUUUCUUUACCCGUCCUGUGAUUUUUUUUUUAAGUAGUAAUUUUUAAAAUUUAAGAAUUAUUUUUUAUAUAUAAAAGUUUUGCAAAUUGUAUCAUUUUCUAAUACAUUUAUAUUUUAUAGUUUAAUUUUAUAUAUAGUAACAUUAUACAUACCACAUAACAUUUUUUGUU